rnacentral:rRNA from 1 species
GAUGAACGCUAGCGGGAGGCCUAACACAUGCAAGCCGAGCGGGAUUUGUUGGUUAGCUUGCUAACUAACAAUGAGAGCGGCGUACGGGUGCGUAGCACGUGUGCAACCUGCCUUUAUCUGGGGGAUAGCCUUUCGAAAGGAAGAUUAAUACCCCAUAACAUAUUGAUUGGCAUCAGUUAAUAUUGAAAGCUCCGGCGGAUAGAGAUGGGCACGCGUAAGAUUAGCUAGUUGGUGAGGUAACGGCUCACCAAGGCUGCGAUCUUUAGGGGGCCAGAGAGGGUGAUCCCCCACACUGGUACUGAGACACGGACCAGACUCCUACGGGAGGCAGCAGUGAGGAAUAUUGGACAAUGGGUGAGAGCCUGAUCCAGCCAUCCCGCGUGAAGGACUAAGGACCUAUGGUUUGUAAACUUCUUUUAUACAGGGAUAAACCUACUCUCGUGAGGGUAGCUGAAGGUACUGUAUGAAUAAGCACCGGCUAACUCCGUG